rnacentral:rRNA from 1 species
CAGCUAGUUGGCAGGGUAAUGGCCUACCAAGGCGACGAUCGGUAGCCGGCCUGAGAGGGCACACGGCCACACUGGCACUGAAACACGGGCCAGACUCCUACGGGAGGCAGCAGUGGGGAAUCUUGCACAAUGGGGGAAACCCUGAUGCAGCGACGCCGCGUGAGCGAUGAAGCCCUUCGGGGCGUAAAGCUCUUUCGGCAGGAACGAUAAUGACGGUACCUGAAGAAGAAGCUGCGGCUAACUACGUGCCAGCAGCCGCGGUAAUACGUAGGCAGCGAGCGUUGUUCGGAGUUACUGGGCGUAAAGAGUGCGUAGGCGGUCCUCUAAGUUUGGUGUGAAAUCUCCCGGCUUAACCGGGAGGGUGCGCCGAAAACUGGAGGGCUUGAGUAUGGGAGAGGUAAGCGGAAUUCCUGGUGUAGCGGUGAAAUGCGUAGAUAUCAGGAGGAACACCUGCGGUGUAGACGGCUUACUGGACCAUCACUGACGCUGAGGCACGAAAGCGUGGGUAGCAAACAGGAUUAGAUACCCUGGUAGUCCACGCCCUAAACGAUGCAUACUUGGUGUGAGCCAUUCAUUUGGUUCGUGCCGUAGCUAACGCGUUAAGUAUGCCGCCU